UGUUGGAGCUUUCGUUCCAUCCCUAAAUGCAAAGCUAAUGUCACAGGGACUUCAGAAGGAACUUAAUGACGUAGGUCUCCUGUAGGUAGCAGCUGUAGAUAUCAAGGGCUGCACCAUCAACGCAAUGGAUGCCAACCACAAAGAAGAGCCGAAGAUGGGGAAGAGGUAGCGUUGCGGCAUCUUCAUCUACUGAACACCGGGCGGAGCUCUGAGACCGAUACCCUGCUGUGUGGCUUUAGAAAAAAAAAAGUUUUGGAGUUGGUGAGGGAAACUCACGCCCCGGGCCAGCCUCUAGUUUGCUGGUGCCAGGAGCAGUGCAGACCGAGCACCGCCCCUCUCGGAGAAACAGCGCUUGUUCUUAAAGGUAAG